AUAUUUGAAAAAUUUUCCAUCUUUUAUACAAUCAGUGAAAAUUUUUAUUCCAAUAAUACGAGAAUAUUUUUGGAGAUCAUUAAUAAAAUUUGCCUUAUAACACUAAUCAUAGGCAUCGUUGUCUGUGUAAUUGCUAUCAUAGGCUUUUGUGGAGUUGUACAAGAAAACAAAGUGUGUCUAAAGUUUUACACCUUUUGUAUUUUAAUUUAUAUAGUUUUUCAAAUCGCAUGUGUCAUAUGGAUUAAGUCAAAAAUUAAAGAAUAUCAAUACACUAUAACUAAUCUUUUGGAUACAACUUGGGCAGUUUUACUUAACGAAAUGAAAUAUCAGUGCAAUUUUUAUUACAAUUUGAAGAUAAAUUAUAAAGACGAGGACAAUUAUUAUAAUGUUAUUGUCAAAUUAUUGUGUAAUUUUAUAUCAACUGAUUAUCCACAAUUGUUUUAUGAUCAAAUACCAUUUAUUUUCCGUUAUUUGGGAUGUCAAGAUAGAGUAAUGCAUUUUUGGAAUUCACAGACUGCGAUUAUUCGUUAUAUAUUUUGUGGAUUGGCAUUUGUGAAAAUAUUUUCAUUAAUGUUUGCAGUAAUUCUUUUAGUGAUUUUAUAAACAUUACAUCAUGAGGAAGCCUAUCUAAGCUUCUCAAAGGAAAGUCAAUAAACGCUUUUAAACACUUGACCUCUAUAAGGCCUGUUGGCCGUUCCUUACCCAGUGCCUCAUGAGGGAAUCAAACCCACCACCUCCUUUCUACCAGACUAGAACAGUUACCACACCUUUUUUAAAUUAUGUAAAAUUCAAUGAAAUUUUAAUUAAUUCAAAUUAAUUUGGUAAAAUUGACUUGCAAUUCAUAUCCAAUACAAAUGAAUUUGUCAAUGAAUUGCGAUUCAUUUGAAUUGAGAGUUAUGAUGCCAACUCCCACCAAUAUUCAAAUUUGAAGAAUUAUGGACUACUACUCCUUUUUAAGUUUCUAUUCGAAACUCAUGAAAUUUAUGAUCGAUGACAUGGGCAUGAGGAUAAAGAGAAAAUAAUUAAACCACUAUCAAGAGCUUUACACCUUAUAUAGUAGUGGAGGAUUUAUGAGGUGAUAUUUUCCCUGCACCCCAUGCUAAAGAACAGAUGGAUAUGCUGCGAUAUAACUAUCAGGAAAAAGGCUUUUGCUGAAAUUAUAUCAAAAUAAUUUGGAAAUGAUAUUAUACCGGAUAUAACAUCGCUCACGUACAGGAGACUGAGUUUCUCAACAUCGGACAAAAAUAUAUUCAGUGAAAAGAAGCACACAACAAAGCCGUUAGUGUCUGAAGUAAAGUUAAUUAAAUACGACUUAUCCAGCAAAAAAUAUACUUCCACAGAAGCCAAAAAGAAGUAUAAUUUACUUCAUGGUAGUACUGAAAAAGUGACGAUCUUAACACAAGUUUGUCAUAGGAGGGAUUUGAUUUCAAAUU